rnacentral:rRNA from 1 species
UACGUAGGGUGCAAGCGUUGUCCGGAAUUAUUGGGCGUAAAGAGCUCGUAGGCGGUCUGUCGCGUCGGCUGUGAAAACUCGGGGCUCAACUCCGAGCUUGCAGUCGAUACGGGCAGGCUAGAGUUCGGCAGGGGAGACUGGAAUUCCUGGUGUAGCGGUGAAAUGCGCAGAUAUCGGGAAGAACACCCGUGGCGAAGGCGGCUCUCUGGGACGGUACUGACGCUGAGACGCGAAAGCGUGGGAGCGAACAGG